UGCUGGAAAAGAACUUUUUUUUCACCACAUAUAUCGCUUAAACAUUAAACUUUCCCGAAUGUUCCUUUUUGUUUGUUGAUUUUGUUUGUUUUGUUUUGUGGUUUUUUUUCUACCGAAAAGAGCAAAGAAGAUGACAAGAUAUCUGACACCAACAUGAGAACACUUAAAAGAUCGUUUAGUUCACAUGGUUAACAUGCAAACUUGAUUUUGAUUGCAGUUUCAUGAUGUGCAACAGAAGGGAAAAGAAGCAACACACCAACAGAUGAGCACAACAGAAUGAAGUGUAAGCAAGAAAAAGAAACUGUUCACAUAACUUUUAACAGCAAGAUAUAUUAUUUCUUUGCAUGAGAGAAAAUUACAUGGUUGUAAAACCACUACUUUGGAAAUAUAUCAACAAACUUCUCAUGCCUGAAUUUAGUUUCUUCGUUAGUGGAACAUAAGCAGCUCCUAAAACAUUUUACUAGGUCUGCUAGUGAGACAGUCUUUUUUCCUAAGUUAUGAUGCUCAUAAUAAACUGCCUACUGGCUAAAGUGUUACACUUGGGUCGAGGCAAUCCCAGAUCUGAGUCUAGAUGGGAAAAAAAACUCACUGAGAACAGCCCUGUGGAGAAGGACUUGGGGAUCUUGAUGCACAAAAAGCUGGACAUGAGCCAGAAGUGCACUCUUGGAACCCUGAAAGCCAACUGUCCUGCGCUGCAUCAAAAGAGGGGUGGUCAGCAGGGAGAGGGAGGUGUUUGUUUUCCUCUACUCUGACCUUGUCAGGCCCCAUCUGAGGUACCAUGUUCUAGCCUGUGGCCUCCAGCACAAGAAGGAUGCAGAGCUGCCAGAGCAGGUCCAGAGGAGGGCCACAAAGAUUAUCAAAGUGCUGGAGCACCACUUCUACGAAGAAAAUUUGAGGGAGUUGGGCUUGUUUAGCUUGGAGAAGAGAAGGCUCUGGAAAGACCUCAUUGCAGCCUUCCAGUACUCAUAACCAGAUUACAAGAAGAAGGGGAAGCAACUUUUUACAUGGUCUGAUAGUGAUAGAACAAGGGAGAAUGUCUGAACUAAAAGAGGGGAGAUUCAGGUUAGAUGUUGGGAAGAAAUUUUUUACUCAAAGGGUGGUGAGGUACUGGAACACUUUGCCUAGGGAUGCUGUGGAUGCCUCAUCUCUGGAGGUGUUCAAGGGCAGGCUGGAUUGGGCCCUGGGCAGCCUGAUCUAGAGGUUGGCAACCCUGAUCAUGGCAGAGGGAUUGGAACUAGAUAACCUGUAAGGUCCCUUCCAGCCUAAGCCAUUCUAUGAUUCAGUGAUUCUACAAUUUAACGCUGACUUGAUCUUAGCAUCCUCCACUAUUUUAGCAUCUUGACAAACCCUGAAGUGAAGAUGAAAUCCUAAAUAAGUAGAAGUAAAUGCCAACGGUUACGAUUUCUUGGUAAUUUAUUCUGUGUGUGUGUAAGGAUUAGUUACUUUGUACAAGGUGAGAGGAACUUUAAGAACAUAUUAAAACUGUUGAUUCCUGUUGGUCAUGCUGUUGGGGUAAAGGUUCUCUUCCCCUCAACAAAGGUGUAUUUAUUGCUAUCGUUAAAAAAUACAUUGCAUAGUGUUGUGGAAUAGUUAAGAGGUAACCUUUGAUAGCAACUCUUAUGAAAACAGACCACCAGUUCUCUGCUUGCUAAAACAGAGUUUUAGGCAUUUUCCCUUUGACCUUGCCUCUCCAAACAGAAUUUUACUCACUAACAAAUCUAAGCCUGGAGGUUUUGUUAGUCUGCUACUUCGGUUUUAUGAUCCUUCAGCAAUUCUCAGUAAAAAAGCUGUGAUGGGGAGAGAGUGCUAAAGUAGGUAGAAAUUAUUUUGGUAAUGUGUAAGAAGAGUAACUGCAUGCUGUAGUAAAUUUACCAUGAUAGCUACCAGAGGGUGUGGUAAAUAAUCUGUGCUCUUUCUGCAUCUACUUAUUUCAAACAAGCUGUUUUCACAGAUUCUCAAUCUUUAGUCAAAUUCUUAAGAUUUAUAGAUGUUUGAAUCAAUUAUCAGCAGUGAUGACAUAAUGGGUUUUGGUUUUUUUUUUUUGUUUUUUUUUUUUGCUGCUGCUGUUUUCUCAUAAAACUGCUCAUGCAAGAAUAAUAAUCAGCAGAACUCCAAGAGAAUGGUACACUACAAAUGUACAGUCAUUAAAAAAGAAGAGUAGGAUAUGCUUAUACAAUGCUGAAAACACCAGAAAUCCCAAAGAAAAGAGCAGGUAUCUUUUACAUUAGAAUAUUUAACCAAAAUAUAUUCAAAAAUCUUUAAUUUUUUUUCCAAUCAUAGCAUAAUAACAAUGCAGAAAAAGAUGUGUUUAGUUUACAUAGCACAAUAUCUUCUUAAACAUAGCAUUGUCAAAAAUUUGUAUCCGUAAAUUCUCAUAAUUGUAAUGGUAUGGGUGUUUAAAUUUUCUUAAUUGACAAAAGAUUGAUUACUUGAAAAUAAAUAAGGAAAAAUCCUUUGUGUAGAAUUAGUCCUAAUAUGUUAUUGAACCUCAAGACGUUCCUGAAGAUUUUUCCCUUUUUCUCCUUUCACUACUGUAUUUUAACACUAAAGCUUCAUAACCUUUGAGUUUCUUAUGCCAGUCUUUGGAUUCCCUACAUGACUACCACUUGCUAUUCAUGAAAUGUUCCCAUUUUGCUUCUGAAGGAAAUAAAAAUUGGAUAUUGUAAGAAAGUAAUCAUUUCAGACUUCAUUUAUUAACAAACCAUAUUCCAAAAGAGUCUUGAGUGCCCUGUCUGAUAGACUAUUAACCUUGGAAGCUCUCUGAUUUUGAUGAUGUUUGGCACAUCAAAUUAGAAAAGGUGACUUGUAAACAAAUAAACAAACUGCUGCCUUCCUGCUUCUGGUUUCUCUGUCAUAUAUAAACAAGUUCUGAAAUGUUUUUCAACUUUUUCUUUAUUUGUCUUUGACCUUUAAAAUACAAUGAAUAUCAAUGUGGAAUUCAGUUUGCAAAAUAACUUCUUUGAGGUAUGAAAUAACAAGAAUAUGAGAUGUCUCAGCUCAUAUAACAUAUGAUUCUUUCAUAAAAAAAAAGAAGAAGAAGAAAAAGAAGAAGAACCAAAAAACCAACCACAAAAAAAUAACAUUACAUUUGUACCAGAAUGGCUAGAGAAGUUAAAUAUAUUAAACACAAGAACACAAAUAGUUUUUUAUUUUUCAUGUUUGUGGCCUUUGUCUCUUAUAACAUAGCACUCAUAUUUUCAUUGAUAACAUUUUUUCUUCAUUAUGUUACAGUAGAAUUGAGAAACAGGUGGGAAGUAAGUCUUUAAAAAACACAUAAAAUGCCUUUUGCCCUUGACUCACCUGCUGAAUUUAUCUGAUAUUUUAUGUAGCCUCCUAGCUAUUUCAUUUUGUUCAGUAAGCUAAAAGUACAAGUUAACAUUAAGCUAUGCCUGCCUUUACAGAAGGAAACAGAAGAAACUAGAGAAAGAUUCUCUGCCAAAAAAAACCAACCAAAACUAGAAUUAUGAUUCCCACUCAAAUCAAUUGACAGUGAUAAAAAAAUUGAUUUUCUGUGUGAACUGAUCAGUUUUAUGUAUGAGGUAUUAGUUAUUAAAAGCUAAAUCUGUGGAAUCUAUACAUGACUGACAGACACAAAAAACUCCUUCUGAGGUUUUGAAACACAUUAUAUACAACUAGCUUACUGUAAAAGCAUAUUAACAUCUAGGAGAGAAAGUAGCCUUCUAAACAAUUGGCCACAAAAUAUUAAUCCUCCCAAUUCAUUAAGCACGUUAAAGAGAUUUUGAAACGUCACAUGAGCGUUACUCUAGAAGAAGAUACUUUUCAUGGUUUUAGAUUUGGAAAAAUGAAUGGGAAUGUGCAUUGAUUCUUUUUGCUUAUUGGUGAAACUCUUCAAAACUGUUUUUUUGACAGAUUUCUCUGGUAUACUGUGGAGAAGGAAAAGCUGUGCUUUAACAUGAAAAAAGAAGGCGUUCCAUGUUUUUUUUGCUUUUUUUUUUUUUUUUUUUUUUUAGCCCAAAUGGAAUUUCUUUAGGUAUUAGAAACUAGAAUUACAUGUUGUUCUGGCCAGUAAGAUAGGGUCAGUUGUUAGAAUAUGUAAAUACCUGCUGUUAGGAAAAUGGAAUAGUGAAUCAAAAAUGGUCUAUGUGAGGUCAUCUGAAAAGUAUAAAAAAGUUGUAAGUAUUCUUGCAGCUCUUGAUUGUAUUUUCCAUGCAAUUGGAUUCUGCAAUCCUGUAGAAAGCAGGGAAACCUCAGGAGUUUGAGUGAUGGUUAAACUAACUUUGUUCCUUACCUGACCUGGGGGAGAGUCUCUUCGCAGGAGGGAGGACUGCCAAUUCUCACAGGUAAGUCUAGGCAAAAUUCAGGCUGAGGCUCUUCAAGAAAGGAUGCAGGAGACACAAAGGAGCUACUAUUCUCAUUUAGUCACUACUAAGUCAAAAAGAACCAAAGGUCUUAACAGUAGAGCAAACCACUAGGGAAUGAGGAGUCAGAGUCUGUGUGAACUGGGAGAAGCAAUAAUGAGAAAUUAAAAGCUUAAGCCGGAGGUAAAGACCUUGUUUACUUUGGUGCCACCUGUCUGAGCUAACCAAGUGUAACCUGCCUGCACUGAUAAUCAUGAGAGUAACACUGUAUAUCUGUUGGUUUGGCAAUUGAAGGUCACAGUUACUGGCUUCAGCCUACUUCUGUGCUGCGCAGCUCACAAAGACUCAGGCAUAGGGUGACGCAUAUGAAGGGACCUGACUGUACAGAAGACAAUGCCAGUUAACUUAUAAUUUUGAUGGUGUUCUGCUGCGUGAAUUAACAAAUGCUAGGAGAAUUUUGUAGUAAAUCCCCUAUCAAAAAGUUCCACCAGUCUACUUAAUUCACUGCAGAUACCUGUAAAACUCUAUUUGAAAUACAAACCAGUAUGAAUUAGCCUGAUCUACUUCAUAUGGAGCCAGGAGUUUGAAACAAUUGAGUAGGCUAAAAAAGAGGGACUAUUUCAUUUACAGUAGGUGCUACAAGGUAAUCUGCAUAUGCAGAAAAAUGCCUCAGGAUUCUUUUGUGAUUUUGUGAUCAUGAAGUGACCAUGAGUGGCUGUUAUACUCAAUGGCAAGCUGGCAAACUGCAGCAGUAGCUUUGUGUUUGAGAGGGAACACUUUGUGAGUGGGCAGAUCAAAUAGUUCAAGCUAAAUAUGAGCACCUGUGAGUCUUGGCUAUUUGAAUCAAUGUCAGCUUAAAGGGAGGAGGGGAAAGGUAUCUAGAAAUAGUGUAUAUCAAAAGUACUAUUAAAAAAAUACUUUAUUCCAAAACUGUGCUGUGAUGGGUGCUUAUUUUGGAGUGGAGUCAUGUAGUUCUCAGGUACACUUCCGGGAAGAUCAAAAAACAGCCAAAAGGAAUAUCUAGAUAUGUUAUGCCCAUCUUGUAGAGAGAGUGAUAACAUGCUCAGAUCUAUUAAGGUUAUCACUUCUGGCCUUUUAGAAAAUAGUGUUACUUCUUAAACUUUUUUUCUGCUUCACUGACAAAAAAGUGUAUGUGCUUAGUUUUUUUGGUUUUUUUUUUUUUUUUUUCUAAAUAACUAAAGUUCACUGAAAUGAUAGACAAACAGGGUCAGUUUAAUUGAAUCCAGUUCAGCUUUGCUGAUUCAGUGUUUUGUUCAGCACAGAAAUGAUAGUAAAUGAAAUUUAUUUACAGAGAAGCAGAGUCCCUGAAACUCCGUUCCUCCUACCCAGUCAUCUCAUCCUUGCAGGAGCUUAUUGCAUCCAGGAUAGCAAAAGGGAGAAAGUAAACAGAAGUGACUGAAAUACUAUGUUCUCUCUUUUUAAAUACUGAUUAAAUAGCAAAGUCUUCCAUAAACAUAAUGUGGCUGAUACUUACCCUACUUUUCUGAGUAUGAUUUUGAGAUGGGUGUCACUGCCAGGAGGUAUGGUUUCACUGUUUGAUAUGCUUCUCUGAGUACUGUACCCUCUAACUUUUUAUUGUUAUUUAUUCUUAGUUGAUGGUUUGUGAGAACUAUUCAUGAAAAUCAUAUUUCAUUAAAAAAGCUUUUAUUCAGGAAAAUAUUUCAUAAAUUCAAGAUGAGAAUCUGGGAGAGAGGUGAUGCAUCUAGGUUGAGAUUAUUUUUCUUCUCAUCCAGAAGCCAUUGCUGAGAGCAUAUAAUCAGGAUAGGAGUGACUCUGUGCUGUUUUCUGCUGAGAGCCAGGUAGGGACAGUUGGCGGCACACUGGUUCCCAUAUCUAAGCUGAACAUACAAGAAUUCUCAAGUGAAAUCCACCCCUCGAUAAUGCCUUUUAAAACAAUACAUCCCCAUACAAUCUUAACAUUUAGGAGAAGAAUGUUUUGAAGGACAGAGAAAACCUAUUUCCUUCUCUCUUCUCUAUCUGCUAGAGCUAUUUGAAGUUGUAGAGUCAGUUACAGUGCUGCUGCUUUCCAUCAACACAGUUAUAAGCUAUUAUGAAUAUACUUCUGCACUGAAUUUUAUGGAUGUUAAAGAUCUACUUGUUCUUUUCACCUCAUCUGGAGUUAUGAGUGCUCAAUGCCUUUCUAAACAUUGGAGCUGAAAUGAAAAAUUCCACUCCAUACUACUCCCCAGUAAAGCUCAGUGCCAAUACAAAGGCUGGUAAAGUACCAGGGUAUAUGCAUGAAGUCAGUUUUAAAUGUUAUGAAGGUUCCCAGAUCAAAAUAGACUUUCUUUUAGCACUGGAAUGUGUGGGUUUCAUACUUCUGGACAUAGAAACUUCACUGUUACAGAUAUAAUGAAAGGCUGAAUAACAAGCCAAUGAAGCUUGUCCAAUGUUGAAGCAAGGUGUUUGUGACCCAAAUAUUGAAGUUUGCAAACUUUCCUAAUUUUAAUCUUAGAGAAAACAUGAGCUUUCUAUAAAAUCUGUUCAUUUUAAGCAAUUGUAAAUAGAAUUUAACAAGGCACAACUCUUAGCAGCCUUAGCAGUAUAUGUAGGUCAUUCUGAAAGUAAUGCUUCCUAUCUGCUUCCAUGAAAACUAUAACUGAUACAAAGAGCACAGAAACACUAUUUGAUAGAGUGAAUUCUCAGCUAUAGAACACUAUCCUUCAAUAUCAUCAUCACCAUUAGCUAUGCAUCCUUGCCAGCUAUGAAUAAGAGCCUGCGUGCUGUACUUGUAAAAAUCUGCACCAGCAGAGGUGUAUCACUGUCAUAAAAUGCACCACCGUUUCACUAUGCUAUCAUCACUAUUCAGUCUCCAUAAAAGUUCAGCAAGUGUUGAUGAAUGUCAAUGGAUGCAAGUUUUUCCACAUGAAAGAAUUCAGUUACACACCUUUGCUAAAUCUGCACUUCCAUGUAAGAUGCCAUUUUAUCAGACUGCUCCUCUGCUGCCGUCUGUCACAUGGCAAUAAAACAUAACAGGGAAGGUUCAACCUCUACUGCCAUAUCACCAACAUCUACCUCUCAUGUUGUGGGCCAACAUAAUACAGUACGAGGUAUUACUUUCAGAGCCCUCAUAAGUGCUGUUGUACUCUGCAGAAGGAAUCUGAGAAAGGCUGUGGUUUACUUCUGCUCAACAAGACUGAGUAGUGACACUACUUUCUACUAUUACUUUCACUAGUGCUUGAGGGUCUAUCUCAUUUUAAACUAAUCUAAAGCCCUUCAUACUGAAAUUUUUUUUAAAUAAUAAAAAAAAAAUCUUGUAUGUACCACAGGUAAACAAGGUAAUUAAGAUAUUAGUACAUAAAAAUAGCUACUUUUUUCUUGUAGACCACACCAUGAAAUUCUCCAGCAAUCCACUUACUUAUUUACUUUUUACAAUUGCAAACAUUCAUAAGUUCAUAGAAUGGCUAUUUUUAAGUAACACUCCAGAUCAGUGAAAUUCUCUUGUAUUCUUCAAUGUAUUGGAUUUCCCGCCCCUGGAGGUGUACAAGGGCAGGUUGGAUGGGACUUUGAGCAACCUGACUUAGUGGAAGGUGUUCCUGCCCACAUCUGUUCCAUAAUUGUAUAUUAUAGCCAGGACAUUGAUUUCAGCCCUUAUAUACAGUUUCACAAUAUGACUCUAUGAUACUGACAGUGAAAAUAUUAAUGAUACUCAUAAAAAAUUUAUAAAUCAUUAUCUAGAUUACUCAUGUUCUAGUAUAUGGUAGGAGCUGCAAAUGCUGCAUCUAGCCUAAUAUCUGGUAUCCAAUAAAAUGUUAAGCUCAAACUGAUUUCGCUUGGCAUGGGUCAGAACUGUAGCAGGAUUUGUCCUUGGAAUUACAGUUGAUCCACUUGCACAUGCCAACAAAAGUUGUUCAGGCAUCCUUGACUUCACAGGAUGCACUUGUAUAGCACCCACUGAAAAGCUGGGAGCUUAAUUUCUCCUGCACUUAUCUAAACAACUUACUACAGUACAGAUAGGUGACGCCACUAUACCAAAGAGAAAUGUAAUUAAGUGUAAUGGACUGGAAAUUCACUCCAGCUGAUAUAAGCCAAGUGUCAGAUUGUCUGAAGACGUGUUUCAGGACUGAGCUCCUUAGAGCAUUUAUGUAGUGACAAUGUUGCUAAGGAUACAGCCAUCCUCUCUGCUUACUGCCUCAGCCAUUGAAUGCCUGGCUUUCCCUUUCCUAAGGUUUCUAGGGCAGCUUUUAACUGCUUAUCAAGACUUAAAAAUUGAUGGUCAUAAUUAAGUUACAGUACUUCUGCAUAUUAUUUCAACGAAAAUUAGCCCUUCUUAGAUCAGAAAACAAGAUAAAACUGAUUUUUAGAAUCUGAUUAAAUAGAACUGCUACUUUCCUCUUUUUUUGCUUUCAUUACACACAUUAAAUUAAUAUUUCAUCUUGGUCAGUGUUCCUCCUUGAGAUAUGCUGUGUGGUUGUCAGAACUCCAGUAAUCACUAUCAGUUAACCAACUUAGCAAUGUGUUAAAGCUAGAGUUGUAAACACUCACUAAAAAUUGGUUUGCAUUCCCAAUUUAAUCUCCUUUUUAAAAGUCCCAUUUUAUACUAAGCUGAGUGAUGCAUAAAUAAAAACCACCAUUUAUCUUGUAUAAGCUGAUGUAGGAUGCAACUUUCCAUCCCAGUCUAUUUAGAAUGAGAUAACAGUACAGCCCAUGCACACAGUUCAAAAUUAUCUGCACACACUUCAAAAUGAUCUUUAAAUUUAUAAGUGACAGUUCCGUGAAUUAGACUUGAAAGGAAAUGUUGAGCAGAGGGUUUUAGAACUUGCAUGCAAAACUCAGGACAAUUUGUACAGGAAAGAGCUUGGCUGCUUAAGUUUUACUGCAUAUACCCAAGAGAUGUCUAGUACUAAAAUGAACGAAAAUACUCCUGUCACCUUUUCAACCUUUUUUUUUUUUUGGUCCCCAGUGAUCUAUUACUGCUCCAUAUGGAGCACAGGAUACAUCGAUUCCUAGUAAUCAGAACCUUCCUAGAUAAGAAUAUUUUAGGAAGAUAGUGUAAAUUGCUGGGGAAAUACCUUUACAAAACUUAGAACUAAUUCUGAAAUAGACAUGUAAGUUUUUUAUGUCUGGAAGAUGACUUCCAAAUACUUUUUUCUAUUGCAUAGUUAAAUUAAUGGCACAAUAUUUUGGCUUAAGUCUUAAUCAUGUAAAAAUACUUAAGACUGCAUGUAGGACAGUUCUGACUCUUAAGAUAUCCUAGUGUCAACAGACUUACCAGUACAUUACCAACACUAAUCUAAUAAGAAAUCCUAUUUCACACUGAACUGUAUUUACAGUCCUGAGAUGCUUUGCCAAUGGAUUUCACAGAUUAAGUGUUGAGACUGGAUUCCAUUUUAGUUUUUAAAAAGGAAUGUGCUCUAUUGAGCCUGAAUCUUUCUUCUGGGUACAUCCAAGCCUAGUUCUUUAUUUUGUAUUCAGUUCAACUUUUCACUGUUAAAGUACCAUAAGUUUUCCAUCAUCAUUACAUUUUGUGAAGGUCUCAGUUUUCUCAGUUUAGUCUCUUGAAAUGAAUGAAAGAAGAUGUUUGUUUGCACAGAGCUGUGGAUCUCCUUGGCCCAAUCUCUUCUCCAAAUUGUUGUACACAUCCACAGUUGCCUCUACCUUGCAAGUGUACCUUGCACUUCCUAUUCCAUAUAUUUUCCUAUUCAAAACUCAUUUCUCACCAAAGUGCCUCACCCAGUCACACUCUGCAUAAUUGAUUCCUUCUUUUCAGGCACCAGUCUCCUGUCCAUGGAUUAGCAGGAAUUUUGUUUUUUUUUUUUUCUCUUCUUUAUUGUGCUGCUCUCCUCUGUUGCUCACUCUAGUUCUUCAGUUUUUACUUCACGAUCAAAUUGGAUGACAAAACUUCUAUUACUUCUUGUCUGUACAGAUUUUCUUUUUAUACCACCACAACCUCUCUGCGCAGCCUGUUCUGGUCUCUCACCAUCCUCACUGUAAAUAAUUUCUUCCUAAUAUCUAUCUAAAUCUACCCACUUCCAGUUUAAAGCCAUUUCCCCUCAUCUUGUCAUUACAUGCCCUUCUGAAAGGUCCCUCUCCAGAUUUUCUGGAGGUCCUUGUCAGAUGAAAGGCCUACAGGGUUUCCACUGAGCCUCAUCUUCUUCAGGCUGAACAGCCCCAACUUUCUCAGCCUGUCCUAGCAGGCAAGAUGCUCCAGCCCUCUAGAUCCUCUUUGUGGCCCUCCUCUGGACCUACUCCAACAACUCAGUGUCUUUCUUGUGUUGGGGCCCAAUAACUGGACACAGUGCUCCAGGUAGGGUCUCACAAGAGCAGAAUAGAGGGACAGAAUCAUCUCCCUUGACCUGCAGGUCACACUUCUCUUGAUGCAACCCAGGAUACAGUUGGACUUCUGGGCUGCAAGCACACACUAUCGGCUCAUGUUGAAUCUUUCAUCAGCUGACAUCCU
ensembl:lncRNA